UACGUAGGCAGCGAGCGUUGUUCGGAAUUACUGGGCGUAAAGAGUGUGUAGGCGGUGCUCUAAGUUCGGUGUGAAAUCUCCUGGCUCAACUGGGAGGGUGCGCCGGAAACUGGAGUGCUUGAGCGUGGGAGAGGAAAGCGGAAUUCCUGGUGUAGCGAUGAAAUGCGUAGAUAUCAGGAGGAACACCUGUGGUGUAGACGGCUUUCUGGACCAUAGCUGACGCUGAGACACGAAAGCGUGGGUAGCAAACAGG
rnacentral:rRNA from 1 species